ensembl:lncRNA
GCUGGGAGGGAAUCUGGUGCCUAUCUCAGGGAGGCAGGAAGACACUUUGGAUAGUAAAGGAUCAGAUCUAGAGGCUCACAGGCAUAGAGUGCUGGGGUGAACUGGGAUGUUUGGAUGCUGUCUCUCCCCAACUUUCACACAUUCACCCAGGUUUGUUGAUGGUUGAGUGGCUGGCUGCCUUUUGUCCCAGGGCGCCCUCAUGUCUGUGUUGCCUUCUGGCUCUCCCUUUUAUUUAUGCUGUCAUAGCUAGUCUUGCCGGAGUCCCUGCUUGCACUCACGCAAUGUUCAUUGUCCUUAACCAUUACGGGGCAAUAAGCAUGCCUAAUACUCUCUCCCUCUCUCUCUCUUUCUGUUGAGCUACACAUGAUACUCCUGAGAUACCAGUGAUCCUAACCCCUUCUGCUCUCUGGACCUGCCUGAUCCAUCCUGAUGCCCUACUUCUGGUUGGAGUUCUCAUCAUUUGGAAGUUACAUGCUGCUGAGGAUGGCCCCACAUGGUACAGCCUAAAGAUGAUUGAGAUUACUGAGGAUGGUUCCACUUAAAAACCAUAAAGAUUGCUUUGGACCUCAAUUCAUAAGAAGAGCUAUGCUAUGAUGGAUAACUUUAGGACUGCAAUUGCCACAGACAGUUUUGCACUCAAGUCUCCAUCAGUGAAC